rnacentral:lncRNA from 1 species
UACACGACUGACCUGUCUUUGCCUUUCAUCUUGAAGAAGUAUAUUGUAAGCAGUGUCUAGUGUGGGAGGAGGUUGCAUCAUGAGAAUGUUGCUUCUAAUCCCCAAAUAUGUAUCGUUUAGCCUCAUAAGGAAUUGAUGUAACUUAUUCUCCUCAUCCUCCUGCUGAAAUUCAGCUCUAGCUGUACAUGCAGCACCACAACUAGCUGCAUUACACCUUGAAGACCUCAUGAAAUUCAAUUCAUCCCAUAACUUCUUCAACCUAUUGAAGUAUGAUGCUAUGUCCAAAGAACCCUGAGUGGUAGAAGCUAACUCUAGCUUAAUCUCAAAAAGUUUUGUGCCAUUGACUGCACCAUAUCUAAUGUUCAACUGGUUCCAAAUACUCUGAGCAGUGUCGGAGUAUUGGACACUCUCAGCUAUCUCUGGUGAAAGGGAAUUUGUAAGCCAGGAUAUGACUAGGUUAUUACACCUAUCCCACUGCUUAGAUUGAAGGGAAUUUGCAGCAGGUUUUGGGACAGACCNN